GACGAACGCUGGCGGCGUGCUUAACACAUGCAAGUCGAACGGAAAGGCCCUGCUUUUGUGGGGUGCUCGAGUGGCGAACGGGUGAGUAACACGUGAGUAACCUGCCCUUGACUUUGGGAUAACUUCAGGAAACUGGGGCUAAUACCGGAUAGGAGCUCCUGCUGCAUGGUGGGGGUUGGAAAGUUUCGGCGGUUGGGGAUGGGCUCGCGGCUUAUCAGCUUGUUGGUGGGGUAGUGGCUUACCAAGGCUUUGACGGGUAGCCGGCCUGAGAGGGUGACCGGCCACAUUGGGACUGAGAUACGGCCCAGACUCCUACGGGAGGCAGCAGUGGGGAAUAUUGCACAAUGGGCGGAAGCCUGAUGCAGCAACGCCGCGUGCGGGAUGACGGCCUUCGGGUUGUAAACCGCUUUCGCCUGUGACGAAGCGUGAGUGACGGUAAUGGGUAAAGAAGCACCGGCUAACUACGUGCCAGCAGCCGCGGUGAUACGUAGGGUGCGAGCGUUGUCCGGAUUUAUUGGGCGUAAAGGGCUCGUAGGUGGUUGAUCGCGUCGGAAGUGUAAUCUUGGGGCUUAACCCUGAGCGUGCUUUCGAUACGGGUUGACUUGAGGAAGGUAGGGGAGAAUGGAAUUCCUGGUGGAGCGGUGGAAUGCGCAGAUAUCAGGAGGAACACCAGUGGCGAAGGCGGUUCUCUGGGCCUUUCCUGACGCUGAGGAGCGAAAGCGUGGGGAGCGAACAGGCUUAGAUACCCUGGUAGUCCACGCUGUAAACGGUGGGUACUAGGUGUGGGGUCCAUUCCACGGGUUCCGUGCCGUAGCUAACGCUUUAAGUACCCCGCCUGGGGAGUACGGCCGCAAGGCUAAAACUCAAAGGAAUUGACGGGGCCCCGCACAAGCGGCGGAGCAUGCGGAUUAAUUCGAUGCAACGCGUAGAACCUUACCUGGGUUUGACAUGGAUCGGGAGUGCUCAGAGAUGGGUGUGCCUCUUUUGGGGUCGGUUCACAGGUGGUGCAUGGCUGUCGUCAGCUCGUGUCGUGAGAUGUUGGGUUAAGUCCCGCAACGAGCGCAACCCUUGUUCACUGUUGCCAGCACGUUAUGGUGGGGACUCAGUGGAGACCGCCGGGGUCAACUCGGAGGAAGGUGGGGAUGACGUCAAGUCAUCAUGCCCCUUAUGUCCAGGGCUUCACGCAUGCUACAAUGGCUGGUACAGAGAGUGGCGAGCCUGUGAGGGUGAGCGAAUCUCGGAAAGUCGGUCUCAGUUCGGAUUGGGGUCUGCAACUCGACCUCAUGAAGUCGGAGUCGCUAGUAAUCGCAGAUCAGCAACGCUGCGGUGAAUACGUUCCCGGGGCU
rnacentral:rRNA from 1 species